rnacentral:lncRNA from 1 species
AUGUGGCUUCCUCUUCCAAAGCCUGUGUGGGAGCUGGGGAAGAACCAGCUGAAACUACCUCUUGGGGGUUGGGUGUUGCUGAUUUCUACCUUCUCCACUAACAGAGAGGAAAACCUUGGGCUGGCUAUGCUGAGUCAUCCAGAGACCAGGAAAUCCAGGUUUAUAUUUACCCCAAGGCAGCCACAAAGCUCAACAGCCUUCACCAGCCCAGACCCCAUCCAUAUUCUCACUCAUCUCCCUGUGUCCACCCUUGCCCUGCACCUAUCUGAUCCCCACAGUGCAGCCAGAUACACGUUUCUCUAAGAAAACUCAGGCCACUGGGGUGCCUGGAUGGCUCAGUCAGUGAAGCGUCUGACCCUUGAUUUCGGCUCAGGUCAUGAACUCAAGGUUUGUGAGUUCAAGCCCCUCCUCAGGCUCUGCACUGACAGUGUGGGGCCUGCUUGGGAUUCUUCAUCGGGAUCUCUCUCUUUCUCCCUCUCUCUCCCUUUCUCUCAAAAAUAAAUAAACCAACAUGUAAAACA